rnacentral:rRNA from 1 species
UCUGCAGAGAUGUGGAAGUGCUCGAAAGAGAACUUGAACACAGGUGCUGCAUGGCCGUCGUCAGCUCGUGUCGUGAGAUGUUGGGUUAAGUCCCGCAACGAGCGCAACCCUUGUCAUUAGUUGCUACGAAAGGGCACUCUAAUGAGACUGCCGGUGACAAACCGGAGGAAGGUGGGGAUGACGUCAGGUCCUCAUGGCCCUUAUGGGUAGGGCUACACACGUCAUACAAUGGCCGGUACAGAGGGCUGCCAACCCGCGAGGGGGAGCCAAUCCCAGAAAACCGGUCGUAGUCCGGAUCGCAGUCUGCAACUCGACUGCGUGAAGUCGGAAUCGCUAGUAAUCGCGGAUCAGCUUGCCGCGGUGAAUACGUUCCCGGGUCUUGUACACACCGCCCGUCACACCAUGGGAGCGGGUUCUGCCAGAAGUAGUUAGCCUAACCGCAAGGAGGGCGAUUACCACGGCAGGGUUCGUGACUGGGGUGAAGUCGUAACAAGGUAACCGUAA